AUCUUCCCUGCGGGAGGGAGAAAAGAAGAAGACAGGCAAAAACCAGAUUUGGGGACAGGAAUGCAGGGAGUGCGCUAGAAGCAGAGGUCUCUAUUGAUCCCAAUUUGGAUGAAUGAAAACAAUUGGUCUCUUCUGAACUGCAUCUUCCUUCCCAUGAAUCUCAAUAGCUGGGUGGAAAGAAAACAAAAGUCCUGACCAAAGAAAAAUGGCAACAAAAACUAUUGGAAUAUGCAGAAAUGGCGAAACUUACCGGAAGAAUAAGAAAUCAAGACAAAGUAUUUUAUAGAUAGUGGAAAUCAUUUAGAAUAUAUUUUCAGAAUCCUUGUAAACAGAUUAAAUCAUUAGCAGGAUUGAUGUAAAGACAUGUAGUGACGUAACAAUUAUUGAAUGAAAUGAAAUAAAUAAUAAUUAGGUUUAA